AUGUGUUUUCUCUCCUCUUCAGCCUUUGUGAAGGAACUAAUGAGAUACACGCUUUCCACGACGGCCAUGGAUGCCAUUCACCAAGAUUCGUUUGCCGAAACAAAAAAACUCCAAUACGAAAAACAUUGUACUCUCUUUUCUGAUUCUAACCAUCCCCAUAGUUUCUCCGAAUACUCAAAGAUGGCAUCAGACCAUUGUAUUCGAACGGUUCUCAAUUUCGAAGAAAUCGCCAAGAUCGGGUGCUUCGGUGGGAGGUGUCCAAGGAGUGCUAUUCUACGCAUACAUAGGAGUAAAAAUGACUGA
rnacentral:lncRNA from 1 species